rnacentral:rRNA from 1 species
AACAAGGUUUCCGUAGGUGAACCUGCGGAAGGAUCAUUAAAGAGUAAGGGUGCUCAGCGCCCGACCUCCAACCCUCUGUUGUUAAAACUACCUUGUUGCUUUGGCGGGACCGCUCGGUCUCGAGCCGCUGGGGAUUCGUCCCAGGCGAGCGCCCGCCAGAGUUAAACCAAACUCUUGUUAUAUAAACCGGUCGUCUGAGUUAAAAUUUUGAAUAAAUCAAAACUUUCAACAACGGAUCUCUUGGUUCUCGCAUCGAUGAAGAACGCAGCGAAAUGCGAUAAGUAAUGUGAAUUGCAGAAUUCAGUGAAUCAUCGAAUCUUUGAACGCACAUUGCGCCCCUUGGUAUUCCGAGGGGCAUGCCUGUUCGAGCGUCAUUACACCACUCAAGCUAUGCUUGGUAUUGGGCGUCCGUCCCUUCGGGGGCGCGCCUUAAAGACCUCGGCGAGGCCUCACCGGCUUUAGGCGUAGUAGAAUUUAUUCGAACGUCUGUCAAUGGAGAGGACUUCUGCCGACUGAAACCUUUUAUAUUUUUCUAGGUUGACCUCGGAUCAGGUAGGGAUACCCGCUGAACUUAAGCAUAUCAAUA